CGGGCUGUAGCUCAGCCAGGUAGAGCAUCGGGCUUUUAACCCGAGAGUCUUGGGUUCAAUUCCCAACAGCCCCG
rnacentral:tRNA from 1 species